rnacentral:rRNA from 1 species
ACAGAAGGGAGCUUGCUCCCGGAUGUUAGCGGCGGACGGGUGAGUAACACGUGGGUAACCUGCCUGUAAGACUGGGAUAACUCCGGGAAACCGGAGCUAAUACCGGAUAGUUCCUUGAACCGCAUGGUUCAAGGAUGAAAGACGGUUUCGGCUGUCACUUACAGAUGGACCCGCGGCGCAUUAGCUAGUUGGUGGGGUAAUGGCUCACCAAGGCGACGAUGCGUAGCCGACCUGAGAGGGUGAUCGGCCACACUGGGACUGAGACACGGCCCAGACUCCUACGGGAGGCAGCAGUAGGGAAUCUUCCGCAAUGGACGAAAGUCUGACGGAGCAACGCCGCGUGAGUGAUGAAGGUUUUCGGAUCGUAAAGCUCUGUUGUUAGGGAAGAACAAGUGCGAGAGUAACUGCUCGCACCUUGACGGUACCUAACCAGAAAGCCACGGCUAACUACGUGCCAGCAGCCGCGGUAAUACGUAGGUGGCAAGCGUUGUCCGGAAUUAUUGGGCGUAAAGGGCUCGCAGGCGGUUUCUUAAGUCUGAUGUGAAAGCCCCCGGCUCAACCGGGGAGGGUCAUUGGAAACUGGGAAACUUGAGUGCAGAAGAGGAGAGUGGAAUUCCACGUGUAGCGGUGAAAUGCGUAGAGAUGUGGAGGAACACCAGUGGCGAAGGCGACUCUCUGGUCUGUAACUGACGCUGAGGAGCGAAAGCGUGGGGAGCGAACAGGAUUAGAUACCCUGGUAGUCCACGCCGUAAACGAUGAGUGCUAAGUGUUAGGGGGUUUCCGCCCCUUAGUGCUGCAGCUAACGCAUUAAGCACUCCGCCUGGGGAGUACGGGUCGCAAGACUGAAACUCAAAGGAAUUGACGGGGGCCCGCACAAGCGG